CCAUUGGAAACGAUGGCUAAUACCGCAUAAUGCCUACGGGCCAAAGAGGGGGACCUUCGGGCCUCUCGCGUCAAGAUAUGCCUAGGUGGGAUUAGCUAGUUGGUGAGGUAAUGGCUCACCAAGGCGACGAUCCCUAGCUGGUCUGAGAGGAUGAUCAGCCACACUGGAACUGAGACACGGUCCAGACUCCUACGGGAGGCAGCAGUGGGGAAUAUUGCACAAUGGGCGCAAGCCUGAUGCAGCCAUGCCGCGUGUAUGAAGAAGGCCUUCGGGUUGUAAAGUACUUUCAGCAGUGAGGAAGGGGGUGUCGUUAAUAGCGGCAUCUCUUGACGUUAGCUGCAGAAGAAGCACCGGCUAACUCCGUGCCAGCAGCCGCGGUAAUACGGAGGGUGCGAGCGUUAAUCGGAAUUACUGGGCGUAAAGCGCAUGCAGGUGGNUUGNUNAGUCAGAUGUGAAAGCCCGGGGCUCAACCUCGNANNUGCAUUUGAAACUGG
rnacentral:rRNA from 1 species